AUUGAACGCUGGCGGCAUGCUUUACACAUGCAAGUCGAACGGUAACAGGGUGCUUGCACCGCUGACGAGUGGCGAACGGGUGAGUAAUGCGUCGGAACGUGCCGAGUAGUGGGGGAUAACGCAUCGAAAGGUGUGCUAAUACCGCAUACGUACUGAGGUAGAAAGUGGGGGACCUUCGGGCCUCACGCUAUUCGAGCGGCCGACGUCUGAUUAGCUAGUUGGUGAGGUAAAGGCUCACCAAGGCGACGAGCAGUAGCGGGUCUGAGAGGAUGAUCCGCCACACUGGGACUGAGACACGGCCCAGACUCCGACGGGAGGCAGCAGUGGGGAAUUUUGGACAAUGGGCGCAAGCCUGAUCCAGCCAUGCCGCGUGUCUGAAGAAGGCCUUCGGGUUGUAAAGGACUUUUGUCCGGGAGCAAAUACCCAGUGCUAAUAACGCUGGGGGCUGAGAGUACCGGAAGAAUAAGCACCGGCUAACUACGUGCCAGCAGCCGCCGUAAGAC
rnacentral:rRNA from 1 species